GAUGAACGCUGGCGGCGUGCUUAACACAUGCAAGUCGAACGGAAAGGCCCAAGCUUGCUUGGGUACUCGAGUGGCGAACGGGUGAGUAACACGUGGGUGAUCUGCCCUGCACUUCGGGAUAAGCCUGGGAAACUGGGUCUAAUACCGGAUAGGACCACUUCUUGGAUGUUGUGGUGGAAAGUUUUUUCGGUGUGGGAUGAGCUCGCGGCCUAUCAGCUUGUUGGUGGGGUAAUGGCCUACCAAGGCGUCGACGGGUAGCCGGCCUGAGAGGGUGUACGGCCACAUUGGGACUGAGAGACGGCCCAGACUCCGACGGGAGGAAGCAGUGGGGAAUAUUGCACAAUGGGCGCAAGCCGGAUGCAGCGACGCCGCGUGGGGGAUGACGGCCUUCGGGUUGUAAACUCCUUUCGCUAGGGACGAAGCGUGUUGUGACGGUACCUGGAGAAGAAGCACCGGCUAACUACGUG
rnacentral:rRNA from 1 species